rnacentral:lncRNA from 1 species
CUGAGUGGGUAUGGGUAAACCUUAACGUAGAGCGCCACUGCCGCCGCAACGUCAGUGCCGCAGGACAUCCCGGAUGUCGACCACUCAUCGGCCUGACACUGCAGCUGCAAGAAUAAUUGCAGAAUAAGAGCCAGCUACUUUAGUGCCCAGGAGGGUGAAGUAUACAAUGAGAUUUAAAGCUGGAACGAAACAUCCAGCAGCUAAACCGCAGUCCGAGUCACAAGGAGCAGUUGUUUCAGCUGCUCUUUCUGAAGUGGUUGAUGCUUUAUUUUUGAGUGUCUGCCGGGUUGUCCUGCCCAGCUAGGAGGCAGUCUUGUCCUGCCGGGGCUCCGCCCUGCCGUAUGAGGUUUACCCUGCUUCUGCGGGCUCCGCCCUGAAGCGGAGUCCCUCUGUUGUACCAGGUUGCCUCGGCAACGGCAGGCUGUGUCAGCAAUGGGCGUGUACCUCAGUAGGGGCUGAUUGCCUCGGUAAUGGCGGACGCCUUUCCUGCACGGAGCUGCACCUUAAGAUUUCCUCCAACUAUCUCCCAUUGCACACACCUAAUUGGAAGUGGAAGUCAAGGCAGCUCCAGGGAUGCCAUGGCAGGCAUCAGAGCAAAGUAGGAAAGAGCAGAGAAUGGAUUAGCAGGGGCAACCGAAGACUGGCCUGCAUGCUCCCAGUUUAUUCUCAACACAGCAGUGAGAGUAACAGAGAACCACUCUACACUGCUAAAGCCAAAAAGGAGACAGAUGUGUCUCCUGCAACCAAGGGCAUAAGCACAGCAGAGCCUCAGGAAAGACUAGAAUUGAGCCAGGGCCUGGGAGGUCCACGGGGAUGA